rnacentral:rRNA from 1 species
ACGGGUGAGUAACGCGUGGGAACGUGCCUUCCGGUUCGGAAUAACCCUGGGAAACUAGGGCUAAUACCGGAUACGCCCUUAUGGGGAAAGGUUUACUGCCGGAAGAUCGGCCCGCGUCUGAUUAGCUAGUUGGUGGGGUAACGGCCUACCAAGGCGACGAUCAGUAGCUGGUCUGAGAGGAUGAUCAGCCACACUAGGACUGAGACACGGCCCAGACUCCUACGGGAGGCAGCAGUGGGGAAUAUUGGACAAUGGGCGCAAGCCUGAUCCAGCCAUGCCGCGUGAGUGAUGAAGGCCUUAGGGUUGUAAAGCUCUUUUAUCCGGGACGAUAAUGACGGUACCGGAGGAAUAAGCCCCGGCUAACUUCGUGCCAGCAGCCGCGGUAAUACGAAGGGGGCUAGCGUUGCUCGGAAUCACUGGGCGUAAAGGGCGCGUAGGCGGCGUUUUAAGUCGGGGGUGAAAGCCUGUGGCUCAACCACAGAAUGGCCUUCGAUACUGGGACGCUUGAGUAUGGUAGAGGUUGGUGGAACUGCGAGUGUAGAGGUGAAAUUCGUAGA